UGUCUAGGAAUGGGAAGCGAACCCACUGUGUUCUGCUUACCGGGCAGAUGCCAUGUCCACUAAGCUAACCUGGAC
rnacentral:tRNA from 1 species